CAAUUACAGCCACUACUUCAAGACCCAUCGAAGACCUGCGGGACAAGAUUCUUGGUGUCACCACUGAGAACUCCAGGAUUGUCUUGCAGACCGACAACCCCCGCCUGGCUGCAGAU
rnacentral:pre_miRNA from 10 species